CUUCGUGCAAAAGAAAUAAAUUAUUUUUCUAAAGAAUUCUACCUUAAAAAUAACGAUUUUGUAAUUUAUUUUUAGUCAGUUUCGAAGGCAAAAUGAGAUUGAAUACAAAAGCAAAAAGUUCUGUAAAUAAUUUAUUAAAAAUAUUUUUCAUCAUUUCUUUUGUUAAUCAAUUUGAUUCAACAGAAGCUCGACCACUGAAUGCAUCAGAUCUUGAAGCUGUUGUGAAAAAUCUUUUAGAUACAGUGCGUAGUUCUAUCAACGGCCUGUUAGGGAGUCCUACUGAUAUCUACUGAUUAGUAUUAUUUUACUAAGCGAAAUUGAAAGUUUUAGAAGUUUGUCACGAAUUUCGUGAGGCAAAAGUUCUCACUUGAACUGUAUAAAAUUUAAUAUUUCUGCAAUUUUUGAAUUAGUUUUGUAUGAGUUUCAACCAACAAAAUGUCCGUGAAAAGUGCAAAAAAUCGCGCGCAGAAGAUUUAUUCAACAAUCUUUUGCUUUUUCUUUCUCCAACAAAUUGAUCCAACGUCAGCAAGACCAGUAGCUAAAGCUCUUUUGGGUAUAGGGGGCUCCGGAUUAUUAGGUGGUCUAGGUCUAGGUGGUGCAAGGACUACAACUGGUGCUAAUGGAACAGCUGGUAGUGGAAAUCAAGGUGUUCAAAUUAAUGUAGGACUACAAAAUGGUUCAGUUAAGGGUGCUGGUACUGGUUCAAGUUCAGCAUCUGAAGCUGACUCAGGCACAAUAAAUUCGUAUGAUUUAGUGCUAGGACCAUUAAGCUAUGAAGAACUCGAUACCAACUAUAUUCUGGCACCUGAAUUCGUAACAUUAGAAAAAGAAGGUUUCACAAUUGCUGUUGACGAUUUGAGUGAGUACUGGAAGAUAUUAAAUUUUAAACGGAUAGAUUUUAUAUAGAAAUUUGUCUUCUAUUCGAUUUGCAAAGUAUCAAAACUUUUUAAUUUAUGGUCUUAACUAUUGAAAAAACGUUUCUAAAGAAUACCAAAACAAAAAAAAACUAUUUAAACUUAUAAAUUAUUUCUUGAAAGUAUCGACUCCACAUUUUCUUAAAAUUCGAUUUACCCAUAAUGUCUUUACUUUACGCAAUGAAAAACUUUUUAGUGAAACAGCAUUAGCAGUUGAUACAUCUAUUGUACAUCUAAUGUUAAAAAAUAUAACUUUUAUGCCUAUAUGUCUGUUUGUUUGUUUGUCACACAUUUUAUUUACCUAAAAGACAACUUAACUGAUCUGAGAAGUACAGGCAACAUAAAGGAAUUAUUCAAAAUUCUUUCAAAGAACUAUUCUAAACUAUACUUUGAUAAACUAUUUUUAGAAUUAGAAUUUUAUAGAAUUAAACGUCCAAUGGAGACAUACCUCCUUAUAUGACUAUACAAACAUAUAUACCUAAGUAAUUAGUAUAAUUAAUAUUUUCUUAUACAGUUUCUGGAUCCGGAGAUUUUGUACUAAAUGUCACAAUUUAACUUCCGGCCUCAUAGGAGAAUCUCAAUAACCUUUUAUUUUCUUGAUUUUGUAUGAUUUGUAUUUCAUGGCUUUGUCAAGACUUUGUCUGGGAAAGAAAAUAAAAAAAAAUAAUAUAUAAAAAA